UUUUGUUGUAGCUAAUGAUUACAAGUGAUGUAUUAUGGUAAUGUUGGCAUUUGAAUGCCUUGGCUCCAAUGAACUAAUUUCUAGCAGUAUCAUACAAGAUAUUCAAAAAGACAAAAAGUCAAUGUUUUAACUAAUUUCUAGCAGGAUCAUCAGCUCUUGUUUUGUCCAUUUUUCUUUUUUUGAGCAAUUCAUCUCUUGCUCCUACACAUUAUGACUUAUGUACAUGAUUUCUCAACCAUGGACUGUCUGUCUUAGCAGGAGGGAGGUGCGCUGGCUACGUCUCUAGGGACUGUGUGGCGGGUGUGACCUCUCCCAGCUCCCCGCCUUCGCCCGCGAUGACGAGGACCAGGUCCGCUGCGCCUCCAAUCCCAGAUCAUGGUCGCGCAGGACAUGCUCCAUGACGCUGUGUGUGUGUCGAUCUGAAGCUAUCCUCUAUUGCAUCUAGAGGCUUGUACAAGCCAUAGAUCAAAUCCGACAAGAGAAGAAAUAUGUGUGUCUGAGGAACCAAGACGCCAAAGGUUCAGAGCGGCAUUGUGCUGAAAAAGCCAGGACAAUGUAAGAGGCUUGCACACAAGGAUCUAGGUUUCUCUACGAGCAGCAGAAUCAAUAUCCGAUAGAAUAUAACAAUUACGGACGAGGAGCCGCAACCGUAGCUUGUUGAGAUGUUGCAUAGCUUUCAGAGAACUAGGAAAGUAAUGGUGGACUCUCAUGAAGCACAAAGACAGAUAAUGUUUGAGGCAAAUUCCUUCACCGGCCCUGCGUAUGAGAAAUUCUGCAAUGAUGCCCAGCGGCAUGCUACUCUCAAGCUGGAGGUCGAGCUUAGGAACUGGAGGUCCUGCUUCGUGAGCUACGUCAGUGCUCAGAAGGCGUACAUCGAAUCCCUUGAUGGUUGGUUGUCCAAGUUCAUGCUCACAGACACCAUCCGUUAAUCCCGGGGAUCUCCUUGAUCGCGCUCGACAGGACCAGCGAGUAGCACACUACGCUGUCGACAACCGGAUCCUCCUCACAACUGACUCCGGCAUGGGCUUGCUCGCACUCGACAGGACCAGCGAGUAGCACACUACGCUGUUGACAACCGGAUCCUCCUCACAACUGACUCCGGCAUGGUACCCAUUCCAACCCAAGAAGACGACUCAAGGGAGGACUGAUCUAUAUGUAGGCAGAUGGAUGAAUUCCAAGCCAUGAGAUAAAGUACCCUAAACCGAACUUACUAUUUAUUUGCAGUUUGCGAGUACACUUGUACUUCCCUGAUUUCUGCCCCAAAUAGCAUGCUUCCAAAUCCAUGUGUAGUUCCAUGCCUGCUAUGUUUCCAAUCAGAUAAUUUUGCCACCAAAAUUUCUGGUUAUUUAGAUCGCACUUUUCCGUGGGACAAUGCAGAAAAGGUGUGUUUUGAUGCUCCCAAUAUAAAGGGUCAGGCUUUUCUCAUAAUGAUUCAGGGAGAUAAAAUUUCUUUUAGAAUGUUUACCACUUUGGCUUGCUUUUGUAAUGAACCAAGAUGAAUGAUGUUUGCAAAACUGAAGCUUCAACUACAAUGCUAGGUUCUUAGAUGUUAUGAAGUUUCAAGUGUUCUACUGCUAUCUAUUUCCUACUCGCUCCACUUCUUUUGUAAGGCAUAUUUUGAUUUGAUCAGUUAAUGCUUUGAAUAAUAAUUACUCUAUUAAUAGUUGCUGCAUGUGAAUAAGUUAAUAUUGGAUUCAUUUCUUUGGGGAGCUAAGCCAUGUAUUUGCAAUUUUAGUAUUAGUUAACAUAAAAUAGAGAAAUGUCUGGUAGCUUCGUAGGUAGUUACUCCAUUAGUAGGUGGUGCAUGUGAAUAAGUUAAUAUUGGAUUCAUUUCUUUGGGGAGCUAAGCCAUGUAUUUGCAAUUUCAGUAACAUAGUUAGUGUAAAAUAGAUAAAUUUCUGGUAGCUUUGUAGGCAUUGAAGAAAAAACAAUAAAUCCCUUGCUAAAUAUACCAAGGUGAUGUCCACAUAUAGCCUUGGCUUUGUUUGUAAAGAAGCGAGUAGACAUUCUACUUUUGUGUAAGUUAAAGAUAUGCUUUGAUGUAUUUCUUCAGUGAACAACACCGGAUUUUCGUAUGAGUUGCCUAUUUAUAUUUUGAUA